rnacentral:misc_RNA from 1 species
UCUCCGUAGGUGAACCUGCGGAGGGAUCAUUACAGAGUUCUCGCCCUCGCGGGUAGAUCUCCCACCCACUGUUAUCGUUACUGUCGUUUCUUUGGCGGGCCGCCGGGUCCCCGGCCGCCGGCGUCUAAUAGGCGGCGCGCGCCCGCCAGAGGCUUUUAAAAUCUUGCUUGCAAUGAGUCUGAGCGAUACAAAAAAUGCGAAAAACUUUCAACAACGGAUCUCUUGGUUCUG